UUCCAGACUCCUACGGGAGGCAGCAGUGGGGGAUAUUGCACAAUGGGGGGAACCCUGAUGCAGCGACGCCGCGUGGGUGAAGAAGCGCCUCGGCGCGUAAAGCCCUGUCAGCAGGGAAGAAAAUGACGGUACCUGAAGAAGAAGCCCCGGCUAACUACGUGCCAGCAGCCGCGGUAAUACGUAGGGGGCAAGCGUUGUCCGGAUUUACUGGGCGUAAAGGGAGCGUAGGCGGACUUUUAAGUGAGAUGUGAAAUACUCGGGCUCAACUUGAGUGCUGCAUUUCAAACUGGAAGUCUAGAGUGCAGGAGAGGAGAAUGGAAUUCCUAGUGUAGCGGUGAAAUGCGUAGAGAUUAGGAAGAACACCAGUGGCGAAGGCGAUUCUCUGGACUGUAACUGACGCUGAGGCUCGAAAGCGUGGGGAGCAAACAGGAUUAGAUACCCUGGUAUA
rnacentral:rRNA from 1 species